AUUGAACGCUGGCGGCAUGCCUUACACAUGCGAGUCGAACGGUAACGGGCCUUCGGGUGCCGACGAGUGGCGAACGGGUGAGUAAUACAUCGGAACGUGCCCGAUCGUGGGGGAUAACGAGGCGAAAGCUUUGCUAAUACCGCAUACGAUCUACGGUUGAAAGCAGGGGACCGCAAGGCCUUGCGCGGACGGAGCGGCCGAUGGCAGAUUAGGUAGUUGGUGGGAUAAAAGCUUACCAAGCCGACGAUCUGUAGCUGGUCUGAGAGGAUGAUCAGCCACACUGGGACUGAGACACGGCCCAGACUCCUACGGGAGGCAGCAGUGGGGAAUUUUGGACAAUGGGCGCAAGCCUGAUCCAGCCAUGCCGCGUGCAGGAUGAAGGCCUUCGGGUUGUAAACUGCUUUUGUACGGAACGAAAAGCCUUCUUUUAAUACAGGAGGGUCAUGACGGUACCGUAAGAAUAAGCACCGGCUAACUACGUG
rnacentral:rRNA from 1 species